UUACCUCAGUAACGGCGAAGUGAAGCGGUAAUAGCUCAAAUUUGAAAUCUGGCCUCUCGGGGUCCGAGUUGUAAUUUGUAGAGGAUGUUUUGGGUACCGCCCCGGUCUAAAUUUCUUGGAACAGAAUGUCAAAGAGGGUGAGAAUCCCGUCUUGGACCGGCGGUAGGGCCUGUGUAAAACUCCUUCGACGAGUCGAGUUGUUUGGGAAUGCAGCUCAAAAUGGGUGGUAAAUUUCAUCUAAAGCUAAAUAUUGGCCAGAGACCGAUAGCGCACAAGUAGAGUGAUCGAAAGAUGAAAAGCACUUUGAAAAGAGAGUUAAACAGUAUGUGAAAUUGUUGAAAGGGAAGCGCUUGCAACCAGACUUGAGCGCGGCGGUUCCCCCGGUCUUUUGGCCGGGCUACUCCGUCGUGUCCAGGCCAACAUCGGUUCUGAGGGUCGGUCAAAGGCCUUGGGAAUGUAUCUACCUACGGGUAGACUUAUAGACCAGGGUGUCAUGCGGCCUCUCGGGACCGAGGAACGCGCUUCGGCUCGGAUGUUGGCGUAAUGGUUGUCAGCGACCCGUCUUGAAACACGGACCAAGGAGUCUAACAUCUAUGCGAGUGUUUGGGUGUCAAACCCGGAACGCGAAAUGAAAGUGAACGGAGGUAGGAAGCUUCGGCUGCACUAUCGACCGAUCCUGAAGUUUACGGAUGGAUUUGAGUAAGAGCAUAGCUGUUGGGACCCGAAAGAUGGUGAACUAUGCCUGAAUAGGGUGAAGCCAGAGGAAACUCUGGUGGAGGCUCGCAGCGGUUCUGACGUGCAAAUCGAUCGUCAAAUUUGGGUAUAGGGGGCGAAAGACUAAUCGAACCAUCUGGUAGCUGGUUUCCUGCCGAAG
rnacentral:rRNA from 1 species